rnacentral:rRNA from 1 species
AGAGUUUGAUCCUGGCUCAGAAUGAACGCUGGCGGCGUGCCUAACACAUGCAAGUCGAACGAGAAAUUUCCGCUUCGGUGGAGAAAGUAAAGUGGCGCACGGGUGAGUAACGCGUGGGUAACCUGCCUUUGAAUCUAGGAUAACCCCGUGAAAACGGGACUAAUACUGGAUAAUGUCCCUUUGGCUGUGGCCAUAGGGAUGAAAGGUGACCUCUUCAUGAAAGUUGCCGUUCAAAGAGGGGCCCGCGUACCAUUAGCCUGUUGGUGGGGUAACGGCCUACCAAGGCUACGAUGCUUAGCUGGUCUGAGAGGAUGAUCAGCCACACUGGAACUGGAACACGGUCCAGACUCCUACGGGAGGCAGCAGUGAGGAAUUUUGCGCAAUGGGGGAAACCCUGACGCAGCAACGCCGCGUGAGUGAUGAAGAUUUUCGGAUCGUAAAGCUCUGUCAAGCGGGAAAAAAAUCUUUCGGUUAAUACCCGGAAGAACUGAUGGUACCGCUGGAGGAAGCACCGGCUAACUCCGUGCCAGCAGCCGCGGUAAUACGGAGGGUGCAAGCGUUGUUCGGAUUUACUGGGCGUAAAGAGCGUGUAGGUGGUUUAGCAAGUCAGAUGUGAAAGCCCUGGGCUCAACUCAGGAAGUGCAUUUGAAACUGCUAUUCUAGAGUAUGGGAGAGGAGAGUGGAAUUCCCAGUGUAGAGGUGAAAUUCGUAGAUAUUGGGAGGAACACCGGUGGCGAAGGCGACUCUCUGGACCAAUACUGACACUGAGACGCGAAAGCGUGGGGAGCAAACAGGAUUAGAUACCCUGGUAGUCCACGCCGUAAACGAUGAGAACUAGGUGUAGCGGGUAUUGACCCCUGCUGUGCCGCAGCUAACGCAUUAAGUUCUCCGCCUGGGGAGUACGGCCGCAAGGCUAAAACUCAAAGGAAUUGACGGGGCCCGCACAAGCGGUGGAGCAUGUGGUUUAAUUCGACGCAACGCGAAGAACCUUACCUGGAUUUGACAUCCUCUUGCAGCCCUGGAAACAGGGUUUUUCCGACUUGUCGGAAGAGAGUGACAGGUGCUGCAUGGCUGUCGUCAGCUCGUGUCGUGAGAUGUUGGGUUAAGUCCCGCAACGAGCGCAACCCUUGUCUCUAGUUGCCAGUAUUAAGUUAGGGACUCUAGAGAGACUGCCUCGGUUAACGGGGAGGAAGGUGGGGAUGACGUCAAGUCCUCAUGGCCUUUAUAUCCAGGACUACACACGUGCUACAAUGGGCUGUACAAAGGGUUGCUAACUCGCGAGAGUACGCCAAUCCCAAAAAGCAGCUCUCAGUUCGGAUUGGAGUCUGCAACUCGACUCCAUGAAGU